GGGCCCGCACAAGCAGCGGAGCGUGUGGUUUAAUUCGAUGCGACGCGAAAAACCUUACCUGGGUUUGACAUAGCCGUAGUAGUGAAGCGAAAGCGGAACGACCCUUCGGGGAGCGGUUACAGGUGCUGCAUGGCUGUCGUCAGCUCGUGUCGUGAGAUGUUGGGUUAAGUCCCGCAACGAGCGCAACCCUCGUCGCUAGUUACACGUGUCUAGCGAUACUGCCGGUCUCAAACCGGAGGAAGGUGGGGAUGACGUCAAGUCAGCAUGGCCUUUAUAUCCAGGGCUACACACACGCUACAAUGGGCGGUACAAUGGGCAGCGAAAGGGCGACCUGGAGCGAAUCCCAUCAAAGCCGUUCGUAGUUCGGAUUGUAGGCUGCAACUCGCCUACAUGAAGCCGGAGUUGCUAGUAAACGCAGGUCAGCAUUACUGCGUUGAAUACGUUCCCGGGCCUU
rnacentral:rRNA from 1 species